rnacentral:rRNA from 1 species
CGCCUGGGGAGUGCGGCCGCAAGGUUAAAACUCAAAGGAAUUGACGGGGGCCCGCACAAGCGGUGGAGCAUGUGGUUUAAUUCGACGCAACGCGAAGAACCUUACCUGGCCUUGACAUCCAGAGAGCUUUCCAGAGAUGGAUUGGUGCCUUCGGGAACUCUGAGACAGGUGCUGCAUGGCCGUCGUCAGCUCGUGUCGUGAGAUGUUGGGUUAAGUCCCGUAACGAGCGCAACCCCUAUCCCUGGUUGCUAGCAGGUAAUGCUGAGAACUCCAGGGAGACUGCCGGUGACAAACCGGAGGAAGGUGGGGAUGACGUCAGGUCAUCAUGGCCCUUACGGCCAGGGCUACACACGUGCUACAAUGGCGCGUACAGAGGGCUGCCAACUCGCGAGAGUGAGCCAAUCCCUUAAAACGCGUCGUAGUCCGGAUCGGAGUCUGCAACUCGACUCCGUGAAGUCGGAAUCGCUAGUAAUCGCGAAUCAGAAUGUCGCGGUGAAUACGUUCCCGGGCCUUGUACACACCGCCCGUCACACCAUGGGAGUGGAUUGCACCAGAAGUAGUUAGUCUAACCUUCGGGAGGACGAUUACCACGGUGUGGUUCAUGACUGGGGUGAAGUCGUAACAAGGUAACCGUA